AUUGAACGCUGGCGGCAGGCUUAACACAUGCAAGUCGAGCGGAGAUGAGGUGCUUGCACCUUAUCUUAGCGGCGGACGGGUGAGUAAUGCUUAGGAAUCUGCCUAUUAGUGGGGGACAACAUUCCGAAAGGAAUGCUAAUACCGCAUACGUCCUACGGGAGAAAGCAGGGGAUCUUCGGACCUUGCGCUAAUAGAUGAGCCUAAGUCGGAUUAGCUAGUUGGUGGGGUAAAGGCCUACCAAGGCGACGAUCUGUAGCGGGUCUGAGAGGAUGGUCCGCCACACUGGGACUGGGACACGGCCCAGACUCCUACGGGAGGCAGCAGUGGGGAAUAUUGGACAAUGGGGGGAACCCUGAUCCAGCCAUGCCGCGUGUGUGAAGAAGGCCUUAUGGUUGUAAAGCACUUUAAGCGAGGAGGAGGCUACUGAGACUAAUACUCUUGGAUAGUGGACGUUACUCGCAGAAUAAGCACCGGCUAACUCUGUGCCAGCCGCCGCUGUAACAC
rnacentral:rRNA from 1 species